rnacentral:rRNA from 1 species
UUGGAGGGCAAGUCUGGUGCCAGCAGCCGCGGUAAUUCCAGCUCCAAUAGCGUAUAUUAAAGUUGUUGCAGUUAAAAAGCUCGUAGUUGAAUUUCGGGGUUCUACCGUUGGUCGGGCUUUGUCUGUACUGGUGUGUAGAAUUUCUACCUUCUGGGGAACCAUCAUGCUAUUAAAUUAGCGUGGUGGGAAACCAGGACCUUUACCUUGAAAAAAUUAGUGUGUUCAAAGCAGGCUUAUGUCUGAAUACAUUAGCGUGGAAUAAUAGAAUAGGACGGUGGUCCUGUUUUGUUGGUUUCUGAAUCACCGUAAUGAUUAAUAGGGAUAGUUGGGGGCAUUAGUAUUCAAUUGUCAGAGGUGAAAUUCUUGGAUUUAUUGAAGACUAACUUCUGCGAAAGCAUUUGCCAAGGAUGUUUUCAUUAAUCAAGAACGAAAGUUAGGGGAUCGAAGACGAUCAGAUACCGUCGUAGUCUUAACCAUAAACUAUGCCGACUAGGGAUCGGACGAUGUUAAUUUUUCUUGACUCGUUCGGCGCCUUACGGGAAAC